rnacentral:lncRNA from 1 species
CGUUGUCAUCCAGACGUUGGGCUCCCUGGGCCUAAGUGCCAACCUUGAAGUGCCCCGGUGCCUAUUUAUAAAGGCAAACGUGAUUAAACGUGAAGGGUCCCAGCAGCCACCAUGGAGGGACUGUGAGAGAAAGCCUUCCUGUCUGCUGGGUGGAGUGAGCAAGGAAGCCGGUCCACAAAAGAGCUCAGCAGCACAGUGCGUGGAGCGUGGAGGGCUUCAGUUACCAUCUGUGGAAAGGAUGCAGGAAGGAGCCAAGCCCCUGCCAGAUUUGGCCAGUGGUAGAGGCCAUAACUGGCACGCUGCUGGAGGGCUCUGUGGGGGCCACUGCUCGUGCCCCUGUGUUCCUGCCUGCACUGCUCAGUCCCAGUGAGCAAAUAAAUGCACCCUCCUAUCUCUCUCCCUUCGUCA